AGUGAACGCUGGCGGUAGGCCUAACACAUGCAAGUCGAACGGCAGCACAGUAAGAGCUUGCUCUUACGGGUGGCGAGUGGCGGACGGGUGAGGAAUACAUCGGAAUCUACUUUUUCGUGGGGGAUAACGUAGGGAAACUUACGCUAAUACCGCAUACGACCUACGGGUGAAAGCAGGGGGUCUUCGGACCUUGCGCGAUUGAAUGAGCCGAUGUCGGAUUAGCUAGUUGGCGGGGUAAAGGCCCACCAAGGCGACGAUCCGUAGCUGGUCUGAGAGGAUGAUCAGCAACACUGGAACUGAGACACGGUCCAGACUCCUACGGGAGGCAGCAGUGGGGAAUAUUGGACAAUGGGCGCAAGCCUGAUCCAGCCAUACCGCGUGGGUGAAGAAGGCCUUCGGGUUGUAAAGCCCUUUUGUUGGGAAAGAAAAGCAGCAGGUUAAUACCCCGCUGUUCUGACGGUACCCAAAGAAUAAGCACCGGCUAACUUCGUG
rnacentral:rRNA from 1 species